rnacentral:rRNA from 1 species
AUUGAACGCUGGCGGCAUGCCUUACACAUGCAAGUCGAACGGCAGCACGGGAGCAAUCCUGGUGGCGAGUGGCGAACGGGUGAGUAAAGUAUCGGAACGUGCCCAGUCGUGGGGGAUAACGUAGCGAAAGUUACGCUAAUACCGCAUACGAUCUAUGGAUGAAAGCGGGGGAUCGCAAGACCUCGCGCGAUUGGAGCGGCCGAUAUCAGAUUAGGUAGUUGGUGGGGUAAAGGCUCACCAAGCCGACGAUCUGUAGCUGGUCUGAGAGGACGACCAGCCACACGGGGACUGAGACACGGCCCAGACUCCUACGGGAGGCAGCAGUGGGGAAUUUUGGACAAUGGGCGCAAGCCUGAUCCAGCCAUGCCGCGUGCAGGAUGAAGGCCUUCGGGUUGUAAACUGCUUUUGUACGGAACGAAAAGACUCUGGUUAAUACCUGGGGUCCAUGACGGUACCGUAAGAAUAAGCACCGGCUAACUACGUGCCAGCAGCCGCGGUAA